UCUUCUUGGAUGAAAUUCGUGAUUGUGCAAAAUAUUUAUAUAUGUUGUAACUUGUAAACCAGUUUUCUUUUCUUUCAAACUGAUUAACAAUUUACAUAUUUGGUUCUGGUAACUAAUUGUGAAUUUUAAAGCUUUUAUCACGUAAUUUUUUUCGUGUAGUCUGUGUUCAACUAGGAGUAAUUUUCCGUUUCUUUUUCAAUUCAUGGAAACUGGAAAGGAGCUAUGAUUGACUUUAUUCUCAUAGAAAAUAAAGAGAAGACAUUAGUUGUCAAGUACUAAGUAUACUUCCUUUAAACAUGAUGACAAUAAUAAUAGCAUAUCACAUGCUGCUAUGAAAAAAAAAAAUACAGAAGAAUCCAAAUUGUAUGACUGAUAUUUGAGGGUAAGCAAAUACAUUAUGAUUUAUUAAGUUCCCAAACUCUUCCUUAAAAUAAUCCAAACAUGUUUAAGAUAUUGGUGAGUGAGGGGAGCCGAAUCCGUACCGAACCAAAUUAAGAAAUACCGAACCGUACCGAAAUAUUUUGGUAUGGUAUUUGGUAUACACAAUUGAUAAACCGAAUACCGAACCGAAAUUCUUAAAUACCGAACCGAAAUACCGAAUGCCCACCCCUAGAUAGAAAGCAACAAAAUUGAUGUUAAAGAGCAAGAAACGCACCUGCAAGUCGAAGAGAUGAGGAGGACCGAAGAUCAUCUCGAGAAGCUCUGUAAAUUGUUAUGUAAAGAAAUUGGAUAAAAACCCACACCUUGAAUAACCUAAAAACUACACGUAGUAUUUGUGUAAGUAGAGAAAGGGCACGUAUAAAGAUGAUGUAAAAUGACCUAAAUGUCCUCAAGCUUUGUUGAAAUGAUUCCAAGCACACAUGUCGAAAAACUCUCUCUUCUACAGAAGAGAAAAGAUAGAUUUCCUCUACCCUAGCCUAUUAUUUCAUUUCACCCGCUCAGCGCCUCAGCCGCUUCUGUGCUCUCCGGAUUCUGAAGUCUGAAGUUCCUCAAGAGUCAAGCCUCAACGUUUUUAGCAUAACUCUUCACUCAAAAUUUUCUUCACUCAAAAUUCCUCCUUUUUCGGUUUCUCCCACAGAUCUGUUCAACUGAUAAUUAAAGGAUAUCGUGGAAAUGGCAACCUAUAUGUGGAGGAAAUAUGCAGAUUAUGUGUACACAAAGUGGGAGAAGACAAUUCUAUGGGAUAUGGUCGAACCAUUUAGGAGACCAAAAUCGUUUACACCUCUUGUCACAAUCUAUGUUUGUGCAUUUUAUACAGGGGUUAUUGGGGCAGCCAUCACUGAGCAACUCUACAAGGAAAAAUACCAGGAAGAACACCCUGGGCAAGAAGUGCCUCUAAUGAAGCCGAUGUUUUAUGGCGGCCCUUGGAGAGUAAUGAGAGGUGAUGUUCCUCCUAUGGGAAAGUUCAAUCUCUGAGCAGCAGUCAGUUGACAGUUAUAAGGACCUACUGUCAGAGUACACAAAUGAGGAUGAACAGAGCAGGAGGUUUGAGACGCAUAAUUUCAACUGUUCAUCGCUAAAUCUGAAGACCAUCAAGUUCAUUAACUUUGAUGGACCACUAAGUGGAAAUAAAUCUGUACUGCCAUUUGUAAAAUAUUUGCUCAAGAAUGCAAUAGUGCUAGAGAAGUUCUUCAUUGCUGGCACCUGGCAGAUUCAGAAGGAGUGAUGUGUCUCGGGAUUAUGUUAAAAUGAAACAGGAUUUCCUAAGCUUUCCAAGAUCCUCUCCGCACGCUUCAAUUGUUUUUUCUUAUCGAUAAUCUUAUGCCCCUCUCUUUUGUAUUAAUUACAGCAUACAUAACAGCUUUUUACUUUAUGUUUGAAACUGGUUUGUAGCUGAUAGACAAGGUUAAGAUUCUAUUUAUCAGUAUCCAAGUAGUUCUUAUCAUGUCUAAGCACAAUGUGUUUAUUCACUUUAUUCUCUGAUCAUGUAAGAAAGCUUCCUCUAAGGUUGAAAGUCAUUUUGCAAAAAUAUUAUCUCAGUAUUCAUUACGACUUGAUAAGAUUGUUUCUGUUGGCAUAUGUUAUAUGACUAAUAUUUCAAGGUAAGAUGAAGUGAAUGCCAAGAAUUCCAUCCACAUGAAGAUCCUGCAUUGGCAAAAACUUAUAGAAUAAACUCUGCUAACUCUUAAGUACUACUUUGGGUCAGAUAUGAUGAUGAGAAAUCCAUUAAGGAGGUGGUUUAAUUGACCAUUUGUGCGUGUGUCUAUGUCACAUUCAGCUAAUGCUCUUGGCUAAAUUAUUUUCUUGUUAAAAUGGAACUCUUGCAUAUGUGCAAUGUCUAGGUGACACUCACUUUCAGGUUAUGAUGAUGGUCAUUACGAGGAAGAAGGACAAAACAAUAUUCGGGCAUGAGAAAAAGUAGCAAAAGAAAGUUGAUUCAGGCUGCACUUUUGUCUCUGUUAGUUGGGCUAGUUGCUUAAUGGAUAUCUGAUAUACUUUUUUUAUGCAGGCAUCAGGCGUGGUUUAUCUGCUCCCUGUUAACCUUACUUGUCCUCAUGGUCAGCCUCGUGUGCAGAACUUCAGUGAUUUUCUCAUAUGUCAUAAAGUACCAAUAUAGUCCUGGCAAUGUUGUCUAUAAUUGAUACCUUUUCUCAUGGAUUUCCUUUGGGAUGGCUUUUUGUCGUCAAACAUAUAAAGCUAGAGCAGUUUUUUUUUUUUUAUCUAUUCAUGAUGUUGGUAAAGAGUAACAUUUCAAUUUUGUGCGGUAAUAUGAAGUCGCAGAGAAGAAUCUUUGAUGGAUUUAUUUCAUUGUUAAUUUUCAGUUAUUUGCUUGUUUCACCUUUGACCAAUUUCAGAGAUGUGACAUCUCCUAUAGUCUACUGUAUAUGAUCUGGAGAUUAAAUGCUGCGUCACUUUCUUUUUUUUGAUGAUGGUCGUGUCCAGACCAGCUUGCACGCAUCUUGACUAUCACCAAGUAUUUGCUACCUCCCAUCAGCAUAGGUACCGGAUAACUCAGCUGCCAAGGCCAAUGUUGUGUUAAUUAAUUUAAAAAAUUACUGCACGUUUACUUAGGUCAGAGAUUUCCUCGUUGGUACAUUAAUAAGAACCUUCGUAACUUGGGACUAUCUGAAAUCUCUGGUCUCCAUCUUCAAAGGAACUAUUGGUGUUGUGCAGUCUGCCGAAACUAAUCAUUGCAUCUAUUCGUUGAACCCGUGCUUGAAGCAUUUCUCUGAACUGGAUGUCAUUGCCACUGGAGUUUUGGAUGCAUUUUUCCCUGCAGCAACACGUGAAUAUGCUCCCCUAGUUGAAGAGGAGUGGAAGAUCCUGCUAUACAGGAAACAUACAAGAGAAGAAAUGAGCUUCAUUUCCUUCCAGAUGCAGCAGAUUACUUCUUGAGCAAGUUUGUUGAGGUAUCAAGCAAUGAGUGUGAACCUUCAGAUCGAGAUAUACUGUAUGUUGAAGGGGAUGGUUUGGCUUUUAUGGAGUUCUCCUCGGAUGAUUGUUGCCUAAUGGGUGAAACAUAUGGAGACAAUCUGGAUGCCCCCGCACCACCUCUGACUAGGCAUGUUUUCUCUAAGAGUACUAAGGGGGUCAACAUUGGCAGUUGAGAUGGCCUGGGAAAUAGCUGCAGAACAUGAGGUGCUCCUUUUUGUUUCCAGUGCGUGACUCACAAUAGUAACCAGUCACCCGCUAUGAAGCUUUAAGACCUCUAUGCUUCUCUCACAGGUAGAAAGCUAUUUGUGUGGCAAGCCGGGCAAGAUGAGGCAUUCAAGUAUUACAAAAGGAUCAAUCAUACUUAUAUCAUCCUUUUGUAUUAUAUGCCGAAAAUUUGAAGUUUAUGGGUUUUGAACUUGCUGUCGAACACAUAACUUGUUGUUUACAAUUGAAUAUUUACGCAUAUUUAAUGGAUCUAAAAAAAUAUAGGGUCUAAGCAAAAGC